UACGAAGGGGGCUAGCGUUGUUCGGAAUUACUGGGCGUAAAGCGCACGUAGGCGGAUCGAUCAGUCAGGGGGUGAAAUCCCAGAGCUUAACUCUGGAACUGCCUUUGAUACUGUCGAUCUGGAGUAUGGAAGAGGUGAGUGGAAUUCCGAGUGUAGAGGUGAAAUUCGUAGAUAUUCGGAGGAACACCAGUGGCGAAGGCGGCUCACUGGUCCAUUACUGACGCUGAGGUGCGAAAGCGUGGGGAGCAAACAGG
rnacentral:rRNA from 1 species